CAACGCGCAGAACCUUACCAACCCUUGACAUCCCGGGACCGGUCCAGAGAUGGAUCUUUCACUUCGGUGACUCGGUGACAGGUGCUGCAUGGCUGUCGUCAGCUCGUGUCGUGAGAUGUUCGGUUAAGUCCGGCAACGAGCGCAACCCACAUCCUUAGUUGCCAGCAGUUCGGCUGGGCACUCUAGGGAAACCGCCCGUGAUAAGCGGGAGGAAGGUGUGGAUGACGUCAAGUCCUCAUGGCCCUUACGGGUUGGGCUACACACGUGCUACAAUGGCAGUGACAAUGGGUUAAUCCCAAAAAACUGUCUCAGUUCGGAUUGGGGUCUGCAACUCGACCCCAUGAAGUCGGAAUCGCUAGUAAUCGCGUAACAGCAUGACGCGGUGAAUACGUUCCCGGGCCUUGUACACACCGCCCGUCACACCAUGGGAGUUGGUUCUACCCGACGGCCGUGCGCUAACCUUUUGGGGGCAGCGGACCACGGUAGGAUCAGCGACUGGGGUGAAGUCGUAACAAGGUAGCCGUAAAGGGCGA
rnacentral:rRNA from 1 species